GACGAACGCUGGCGGCGUGCUUAACACAUGCAAGUCGAACGGAAAGGCCCCUUUGGGGGUACUCGAGUGGCGAACGGGUGAGUAACACGUGAGUAACCUGCCCUUGACUUCGGGAUAACUUCAGGAAACUGGGGCUAAUACCGGAUAGGAAUCCUUGCUGCAUGGUGGGGGUUGGAAAGCUUCGGCGGUUUUGGAUGGACUCGCGGCUUAUCAGCUUGUUGGUGGGGUAGUGGCUUACCAAGGCUUUGACGGGUAGCCGGCCUGAGAGGGCGACCGGCCACAUUGGGACUGAGAUACGGCCCAGACUCCUACGGGAGGCAGCAGUGGGGAAUAUUGCACAAUGGGCGGAGGCCUGAUGCAGCAGCGCCGCGUGCGGGAUGACGGCCUUCGGGUUGUAAACCGCUUUCAGCAGGGGCGAAGCUUGUGGUGACGGUACCUGCAGAAGAAGCACCGGCUAACUACGUG
rnacentral:rRNA from 1 species